AGUGGAAUUGCUGAAUCAUAUAGUAACUUACGUUAAACUUUUUGAGAAACUGCCAAACUUUUUUCCAAAGUGGCUGCAUCAUUUUAUAUUCUCACCAGCAAU
rnacentral:pre_miRNA from 1 species